GAAGAGUGUGUGGUUUACCCGAUUGAUCUGUGUGUACAGUUUAAUGCUGGAGCUUUUCACUUAGUAUUCACUUCACAAAUGAGAGAUGUGAAAUGUUUAGAUUAAACGAAGCAGAAAUUAAAAAAAUAUAUUGAUUCUCUCCUUUCCUUCCAUCCUUCUUACUAAAGGUCUUUGGCUCUCUUGCAUUAGUGACUGUGGUAUGUAUUGGCAUUUACGCUAAUGAAGAGCCCACGAUGUUUCCCUAAAUGUUCUGCUACAAGUUCCUUGUUAAUAGCUUCCAUUUAUCCAGCAAAAGAAAAACUGCAAUCUCCAACAUGUUGUGCAAUAAACCAAGGGCACAGAAGGGGCGUGAAAGUCCAGUCUUUCCCUCACCAUGCUGUCCUUUAUUCCAGCACAGUCAAAUACUUUGUACAGGAAGAUGAAACCUGAACUGCAGGUCAAAAUGAGCUUGCCCAAGGAUCUGUGCUUGUUCCGCUCUAGAGAUGGAAAUAGACAGAAAUGAAAUCUGAGUGAGGCCCUGUGGCUUUUGUAGCACAGCAGUUAGUGGUUUAUUCCAUGAACAGAAAGGGAGACAAUAGCCUGAUCUUCCCCCUCUUCGUGUACCAGCAAGACUUCAGGAUGGCAGUCUUUGAUGAGAUUCUGAAACAUCAAAUCAGGAAAUGAUGGGAAUAAGCUGAUUUCUUCCUGAGCUAACACUGAGAGCAGCAUUGCAUGUCUGAUGGAGAACAGCAAACAAGUGAGAGAGGUUUGUCUGAUGUCCCGAGCGCUGCCCGGGUGUUCCAGCGGCACCAACAGAGGCUGACUGAUGGGCUCCAGUUCAGACAUACGAAGGGUGGCAAGCAGAGGCAGCGUUCUGAGACCGCAAGUCCCUCAGAACUGGAUGUCCUCAUCCCCAGGGCUGUCAGCCACACCGUGUCCUGUCCCUGCCGGCUGCACAGCAACAGUGGCGACACGGCUGCAUUGCUGGGGAGAUGGAAGCCCAACGUGUGUCAUCUCUGAGGCUGCUCGAGUUCCUCUUCAGCGCUUUGCAGGGGAAGACCAGAGAAAUAAUAAGGCUUUGUAUGAGUGAUAAGACUGUAUCGUGAUGGCUGUUCGCUUCCUAACAGAUGGGACAGAGAUGCAGGUAGGGUGGAGGGGCCACAAAGGCAACUGAUGGAGAAGUUUCUUUGGAGUCUGCUGUUCUUUUUUGCUUCAUUUAUAUUUCAUUAGGCAUGAAAUUACGUUUAUAAUUGUAUUAGACAACUGUGUGAGAUAUUAGAUCAUAAGCCUAGACUGAAUUAAAGCCAUUUUUAAUUAGUUAUUGAUUUAUUCUGUUUCGUCAUUUUUAAUGAAAUGAUGCCCCUGAAUUCAAAGCGCUGGUGCAGGUGUGUUAUCUUAAUUCAUAGAACUAGCACUCUGCUUACCUCCCAACC
rnacentral:lncRNA from 1 species